UACGUAGGGUGCGAGCGUUAAUCGGAAUUACUGGGCGUAAAGCGUGCGCAGGCGGUUUUGUGAGCCGGAUGUGAAAUCCCCGGGCUUAACCUGGGAAUGGCAUUCGGGACUGCAAGGCUGGAGUGCGGCAGAGGAGACUGGAAUUCCUGGUGUAGCAGUGAAAUGCGUAGAUAUCAGGAGGAACACCGAUGGCGAAGGCAGGUCUCUGGGCUGACACUGACGCUCAUGCACGAAAGCGUGGGGAGCAAACAGG
rnacentral:rRNA from 1 species